UGCCUUAUGAUGAAUUAUGUAAGGUAAAACCUGCCCAGUGAAUUUUCAACGGCCGCGGUAUCCUGACCGUGCUAAGGUAGCAUAAUCAUUUGCCUUUUAAUUAAAGGCUAGUAUGAAUGGUUAAACGAAUAUAUAACUGUCUCUAUAAAAUAAAUAAAAAUUAAUUUUUUAGUAAAAAAGCUAAAAUUCAAAUAAAGGACAAAAAGACCCUGUAGAACUUUAUUUAUACUAAAUUUUAAACCCUAUUCAAAAAGAUAUUUAUUUAGUUUUAAUUUGGUUGGGGCGACUUAGGAAUAAAUAAAACUUCCUUCAUAAAUAAGAUAUAAAAUCAUAUCAAUGACCCAUUUAAUUGUUCAUAUAACUAGUUACCUCAGGGAUAACAGACUUAUUUUCCUUAAGAGACCUUAUUGACAGGAAAGUUUGGCACCUCGAUGUUGGCUUAGGUACUCCUAAAGAUGCAGCAGUCUUUUUGGUGGGCUUGUUCAUCCCUUAAAUACCUACA
rnacentral:rRNA from 1 species